UACGGGGGGGGCAAGCGUUGUUCGGAAUUACUGGGCGUAAAGGGCUCGUAGGUGGCCAACUAAGUCAGACGUGAAAUCCCUCAGCUUAACUGGGGAACUGCGUCUGAUACUGGAUGGCUUGAGUUUGGGAGAGGGAUGCGGAAUUCCAGGUGUAGCGGUGAAAUGCGUAGAUAUCGUAAGGAAGACCAGUGGCGAAGGCGAGUCUCUGGACAGCAACUGACGCUGAGGCACGAAGGCCAGGGGAGCAAACGGG
rnacentral:rRNA from 1 species